UGAUAAAAAAGUGUCCAUUACUACAAGUGAAUUCACCCCGCUGUGUGUAAGUUCUCCCCCCGCCUUAAGGGGGCUUCCUUCCUCUCUCCCACUGAAAGGGGGUGCCUUAUUUUGCUUUUGUGUACUCUGUGGCCAAGAUGGGUAUUAUUGAUGAACCAGGCUCUGAGUAAACCCCGUGAACACUUUGGGUGCUCUAGUUUGGUUCUACAGUGUGACAAACACUAAAAAAGUGAUAAACAUUCAUGACUCCAUUAGAGAUGCUAAGGAGCGCAUGAAUUUGACCUCAUUAGAGAUUUCUCAUCACAAGUGUCCUCCAAGAAAUGCUUUUCCCAUUAGAAGG